rfam:Echinostoma caproni strain Egypt genome assembly, scaffold: ECPE_scaffold0006192
GUCCUCGUAGCUCAGCUGGUAGAUCAUGUUCGUACAAAGCAUAGGCAGCGUCCAUGCGUGGGUUCGAAUCCCACCGAGGCUA